ACGUAGGGGGCGAGCGUUGUCCGGAUUUAUUGGGCGUAAAGAGCUCGUAGGCGGUUCGAUAAGUCGGACGUGAAAUCUCCACGCUCAACGUGGAGGGGCCGUUCGAUACUGUCGUGACUCGAGUCCGGUAGGGGAGUGUGGAAUUCCCGGUGUAGCGGUGAAAUGCGCAGAGAUCGGGAGGAACACCCGUAGCGAAGGCGGCACUCUGGGCCGGUACUGACGCUGAGGAGCGAAAGCGUGGGGAGCAAACAGGA
rnacentral:rRNA from 1 species